rnacentral:rRNA from 1 species
UACGUAGGGUGCAGGCGUUAAUCGGAAUUACUGGGCGUAAAGCGUGCGCAGGCGGUUUGCUAAGACAGGUGUGAAAUCCCCGGGCUUAACCUGGGAACUGCGCUUGUAACUGGCAAGCUAGAGUGUGGCAGAGGGGGAUGGAAUUCCGCGUGUAGCAGUGAAAUGCGUAGAUAUGCGGAGGAACACCGAUGGCGAAGGCAAUCCCCUGGACCUGUACUGACGCUCAUGCACGAAAGCGUGGGGAGCAAACAGG